rnacentral:rRNA from 1 species
GGAAAGGUGAAAAGAACCCCGAACAGGGGAGUGAAAUAGAACCUGAAACCAUACGCUUACAACCUGUCGGAGCGGCUUCGUGCCGUGACGGCGUGCCUAUUGAAUAAUGAGCCUACGAGUUACUAAUCACUGGCAAGGUUAAGUGCACGGAUGCACGGAGCCGAAGCGAAAGCGAGUCUGAACAGGGCGUUUAGUCAGUGGUUGUAGACGCGAAACCUUGCGAUCUACCCUUGAGCAGGUUGAAGGUUGGGUAAAACCAACUGGAGGACCGAACGAAUAAGCGUUGAAAAGCUUCUCGAUGACUUGAGGGUAGGGGUGAAAGGCUAAUCAAGCUGGGAAAUAGCUCGUACUCCCCGAAAUGCCUUUAGGGGCAGCGUUGUAAUUGAGAGUCUACUGGAGGUAGAGCUACUGAUUGGAUGCGGGGGCUUCACCGCCUACCAAAUCCUGACAAACUCCGAAUGCCAGUAGUAUGAUUUACAGCAGUGAGCGACCGGGUGCUAAUGUCCGGUUACGAGAGUGGAACAACACAGACCAGCAACUAAGGUCCCCAAGAGUAUACUAAGUUGAUCUAACGAUGUUUUGCUGCAGAGACAGCUAGGAUGUUAGCUUGGAAGCAGCUAUUCAUUCAAAGAGUGCGUAACAGCUCACUAGUCGAGCGGCAAAGCGUGGAUAAUAAACGGGCAUCAAGUAUACCACCGAAGUUCUGGGCACGAAAGUGCGGUAGGGGAGCAUUCCAUUCCGCGUUGAAGCCGAACCGUGAGGUUUGGUGGAGUGUAUGGAAAAGCAAAUGUAGGCAUGAGUAACGAUAAUGCGGGAGAGUAACCCGCACACCGCAAGACCAAGGUUUCCUGAUCAACGCUAAUCGGAUCAGGGUUAGUCGGGUCCUAAGGGUAAGCCGAACGGUGAUCUCGAUGGAUAAUCGGUUAAUAUUCCGAUACUGACAUAUACCUCGAUGGAGAGACGAAGGAACGUAAGUGCCGCCACCUGACGGAAUAGGUGGUUAAAGGGCUUAGGUAUAGGGACAGAUUAAGAGUUAGUCCUUGCUGAAACCUGACAGUACAGAGAGCCUACGGGCAAUUUGAUAGUGCACCCAAGUCGACUUCCGAGAAAAUCUUCUAAGUUAUAGUAUAUGUCACCCGUACCGUAAACCGACACAGGUGGUCGAGGAGAGUAUCCUAAGGUGCUCGAGUGAAUCACGGUUAAGGAACUAGGCAAAUUAACCCCGUAACUUCGGGAAAAGGGGUCCCAUCGCGAGGUGGGCGCAGCGAAGAGGUCCAGGCGACUGUUUAUCAAAAACACAGGGCUCUGCAAAUUCGAAAGAAGACGUAUAGGGCCUGACACCUGCCCGGUGCUGGAAGGUUAAGAGGGGAUGUCAUCGCAAGAGAAGCAUUGAAUCGAAGCCCCAGUAAACGGCGGCCGUAACUAUAACGGUCCUAAGGUAGCGAAAUUCCUUGUCGGGUAAGUUCCGACCUGCACGAAUGGUGUAACGAUCUGGACACUGUCUCAACCGUGAGCUCGGUGAAAUUGUAGUCCCGGUGAUGAUGCCGGGUACCCGCAACGGGACGAAAAGACCCCGUGAACCUUUACUAUAGCUUAACGCUGAAUUUGGGUACACAAUGUGUAGGAUAGGC